CACAAGGCCCUUGUCAGGGCCACCAUAACAAGGAACCAGAACCAGU
rfam:Operophtera brumata OBRT01_Sc02413, whole genome shotgun sequence.